rnacentral:rRNA from 1 species
AAGGGAGCGUAGGCGGCUGAUUAAGUCAGCGGUGAAAGGUAGCAGCUUAACUGUUUUACAUGCCGUUGAUACUGGUUAGCUUGAGUUGACAGAAGGCAGAUAGAAUUCCUGAUGUAGCGGUGAAAUGCUUAGAUAUCAGGAGGAAUACCGAUUGCGAAGGCAGUCUGCUGCAGUCACACUGACGCUGAGGCUCGAAGGUGCGGGGAUCAAACAGGAUUAGAUACCCCGGU